rnacentral:rRNA from 5 species
GGGUUGUGAGGUUAAGCGACUAAGCGUACACGGUGGAUGCCCUGGCAGUCAGAGGCGAUGAAGGGCGUGCUAAUCUGCGAUAAGCGCCGGUAAGGUGAUAUGAACCGUUAUAACCGGCGAUACCCGAAUGGGGAAACCCAGUGUGAUUCGUCACACUAUCAUUAACUGAAUCCAUAGGUUAAUGAGGCGAACCGGGGGAACUGAAACAUCUAAGUACCCCGAGGAAAAGAAAUCAACCGAGAUUCCCCCAGUAGCGGCGAGCGAACGGGGAGGAGCCCAGAGCCUGAAUCAGCAUGUGUGUUAGUGGAAGCGUCUGGAAAGGCGCGCGAUACAGGGUGACAGCCCCGUACACAAAAGCGCAUGUGCUGUGAGCUCGAUGAGUAGGGCGGGACACGUGGUAUCCUGUCUGAAUAUGGGGGGACCAUCCUCCAAGGCUAAAUACUCCUGACUGACCGAUAGUGAACCAGUACCGUGAGGGAAAGGCGAAAAGAACCCCGGCGAGGGGAGUGAAAAAGAACCUGAAACCGUGUACGUACAAGCAGUGGGAGCACAGGUUUACCUGUGUGACUGCGUACCUUUUGUAUAAUGGGUCAGCGACUUAUAUUCUGUAGCAAGGUUAACCGAAUAGGGGAGCCGGAGGGAAACCGAGUCUUAAUUGGGCGUUAAGUUGCAGGGUAUAGACCCGAAACCCGGUGAUCUAGCCAUGGGCAGGUUGAAGGUUGGGUAACACUAACUGGAGGACCGAACCGACUAAUGUUGAAAAAUUAGCGGAUGACCUGUGGCUGGGGGUGAAAGGCCAAUCAAACCGGGAGAUAGCUGGUUCUCCCCGAAAGCUAUUUAGGUAGCGCCUCGUGAAUUCAUCUCCGGGGGUAGAGCACUGUUUCGGCUAGGGGGCCAUCCCGGCUUACCAACCCGAUGCAAACUGCGAAUACCGGAGAAUGUUAUCACGGGAGACACACGGCGGGUGCUAACGUCCGUCGUGAAGAGGGAAACAACCCAGACCGCCAGCUAAGGUCCCAAAGUCAUGGUUAAGUGGGAAACGAUGUGGGAAGGCCCAGACAGCCAGGAUGUUGGCUUAGAAGCAGCCAUCAUUUAAAGAAAGCGUAAUAGCUCACUGGUCGAGUCGGCCUGCGCGGAAGAUGUAACGGGGCUAAACCAUGCACCGAAGCUGCGGCAGCGACACUGUGUGUUGUUGGGUAGGGGAGCGUUCUGUAAGCCUGCGAAGGUGGCCUGUGAGGGUUGCUGGAGGUAUCAGAAGUGCGAAUGCUGACAUAAGUAACGAUAAAGCGGGUGAAAAGCCCGCUCGCCGGAAGACCAAGGGUUCCUGUCCAACGUUAAUCGGGGCAGGGUGAGUCGACCCCUAAGGCGAGGCCGAAAGGCGUAGUCGAUGGGAAACGGGUUAAUAUUCCCGUACUUGGUGUUACUGCGAAGGGGGGACGGAGAAGGCUAUGUUGGCCGGGCGACGGUUGUCCCGGUUUAAGCGUGUAGGUGUGUGUUCCAGGUAAAUCCGGUUCACUUUAACACUGAGGCGUGACGACGAGGCACUACGGUGCUGAAGCAACAAAUGCCCUGCUUCCAGGAAAAGCCUCUAAGCAUCAGGUAACAUCAAAUCGUACCCCAAACCGACACAGGUGGUCAGGUAGAGAAUACCAAGGCGCUUGAGAGAACUCGGGUGAAGGAACUAGGCAAAAUGGUGCCGUAACUUCGGGAGAAGGCACGCUGACACGUAGGUGAAGUGAUUUACUCAUGGAGCUGAAGUCAGUCGAAGAUACCAGCUGGCUGCAACUGUUUAUUAAAAACACAGCACUGUGCAAACACGAAAGUGGACGUAUACGGUGUGACGCCUGCCCGGUGCCGGAAGGUUAAUUGAUGGGGUCAGCGCAAGCGAAGCUCCUGAUCGAAGCCCCGGUAAACGGCGGCCGUAACUAUAACGGUCCUAAGGUAGCGAAAUUCCUUGUCGGGUAAGUUCCGACCUGCACGAAUGGCGUAAUGAUGGCCAGGCUGUCUCCACCCGAGACUCAGUGAAAUUGAACUCGCUGUGAAGAUGCAGUGUACCCGCGGCAAGACGGAAAGACCCCGUGAACCUUUACUAUAGCUUGACACUGAACAUUGAGCCUUGAUGUGUAGGAUAGGUGGGAGGCUUUGAAGUGUGGACGCCAGUCUGCAUGGAGCCGACCUUGAAAUACCACCCUUUAAUGUUUGAUGUUCUAACGUGGACCCGUUACCCGGGUUGCGGACAGUGUCUGGUGGGUAGUUUGACUGGGGCGGUCUCCUCCUAAAGAGUAACGGAGGAGCACGAAGGUUGGCUAAUCCUGGUCGGACAUCAGGAGGUUAGUGCAAUGGCAUAAGCCAGCUUGACUGCGAGCGUGACGGCGCGAGCAGGUGCGAAAGCAGGUCAUAGUGAUCCGGUGGUUCUGAAUGGAAGGGCCAUCGCUCAACGGAUAAAAGGUACUCCGGGGAUAACAGGCUGAUACCGCCCAAGAGUUCAUAUCGACGGCGGUGUUUGGCACCUCGAUGUCGGCUCAUCACAUCUGGGGCUGAAGUAGGUCCCAAGGGUAUGGCUGUUCGCCAUUUAAAGUGGUACGCGAGCUGGGUUUAGAACGUCGUGAGACAGUUCGGUCCCUAUCUGCCGUGGGCGCUGGAGAACUGAGGGGGGCUGCUCCUAGUACGAGAGGACCGGAGUGGACGCAUCACUGGUGUUCGGGUUGUCAUGCCAAUGGCACUGCCCGGUAGCUAAAUGCGGAAGAGAUAAGUGCUGAAAGCAUCUAAGCACGAAACUUGCCCCGAGAUGAGUUCUCCCUGAGACUUAAAGUCUCCUGAAGGAACGUUGAAGACGACGACGUUGAUAGGCCGGGUGUGUAAGCGCAGCGAUGCGUUGAGCUAACCGGUACUAAUGAACCGUGAGGCUUAACCUUACAACGCCGAAG